CGUCAUCACUCACUGACGGGUCCUAUUAUGCUCCUUUACAAAGUCUUGAUUUUGUUUUGGGGGUGUGCUAGAACAUGUUCUCAUGCGUGGUAGUUCGAAAAACGCAUUAUUUUUCACAUAAUUUACAUUAUUACCAUACCUUUCUCCCCAGCCU